rnacentral:rRNA from 1 species
CGAGUGAAGCGGGAAAAGCUCAAAUUUAAAAUCUGGCAGUCUCUGGCUGUCCGAGUUGUAAUCUAGAGAAGUGUUAUCCGUGCUGGACCGUGUAUAAGUCUCCUGGAAUGGAGCGUCAUAGAGGGUGAGAAUCCCGUCUUGGACAUGGACUACCAGUACAUUGUGAUGCGCUCUCAAAGAGUCGAGUUGUUUGGGAAUGCAGCUCUAAAUGGGUGGUAAAUUCCAUCUAAAGCUAAAUAUUGGCGAGAGACCGAUAGCGAACAAGUACCGUGAGGGAAAGAUGAAAAGAACUUUGGAAAGAGAGUUAAACAGUACGUGAAAUUGUUGAAAGGGAAACGCUUGAAGUCAGUCACAUUGGCCAGGGAUCAACCUAGCUCAUUUGCUUGGUGUACUUCCUGGUUAAUGGGUCAGCAUCAAUUUUGAUCAUUGGAAAAAGGUAUAGGGAAUGUGGCAUCUCCGGAUGUGUUAUAGCCCUAUAUUGUAUACAGUGAUUGGGAUUGAGGAACUCAGCAUGCCGCAAGGGCCAGGUCAUUGACCAUGUUCAUGCUUAGGAUGCUGGCAUAAUGGCUUUAAUCGACCCGUCUUGAAACACGGACCAAGGAGUCUAACAUGCCUGCAAGUAUUUGGGUGGAGAACCCAAGUGCGUAAUGAAAGUGAAAGUUGAGAUCCCUGUCAUGGGGAGCAUCGACGCCCGGACCAGAACUUUUGGGACGGAUCUGCGGUAGAGCAUGUAUGUUGGGACCCGAAAGAUGGUGAACUAUGCCUGAAUAGGGCGAAGCCAGAGGAAACUCUGGUGGAGGCUCGUAGCGAUUCUGACGUGCAAAUCGAUCGU